rnacentral:rRNA from 1 species
CACGCUGUAAACUAUGAAUGCUAGGUGUUUGGUAUAACUGUUUUUUCCUUCGGGUUAAAAUGGAAGUAUUGAGUGCCGCAGUUAACACGUUAAGCAUUCCGCCUGGGAAGUACUGCCGCAAGGCUAAAACUCAAAUGAAUUGGCGGGGACCCGCACAAGCGGAGGAGCGCGUGGUUUAAUUCGACGGUAAUCGAAAAACCUUACCAGGGUUUGACAUGUAUCUGCAUGCCCCCAGAAACGGGGGAAUCCUUAGAGGGUGAUACACAGGUGC